CCUACGGGGGGCAGCAGUAGGGAAUAUUGCUCAAUGGGGGAAACCCUGAAGCAGCAACGCCGCGUGGAGGAUGAAGGUUUUAGGAUUGUAAACUUCUUUUGUUAGAGAAGAUUAUGACGGUAUCUGACGAAUAAGCACCGGCUAACUCCGUGCCAGCAGCCGCGGUAAUACGGAGGGUGCAAGCGUUACCCGGAUUCACUGGGCGUAAAGAGUGCGUAGGCGGGGUAAUAAGUCAGAUGUGAAAUGCUGUAGCUUAACUACAGAACUGCAUUGGAAACUGUUACUCUGGAGUGUGGGAGAGGUAGGUGGAAUUCUUGGUGUAGGGGUAAAAUGCGUAGAGAUCAAGAGGAAUAC
rnacentral:rRNA from 1 species